rnacentral:misc_RNA from 1 species
AUUCGCCGAAUAAUGCAGAGACAAG